UACGGAGGGUGCAAGCGUUGCUCGGAAUUACUGGGCGUAAAGCGAACGCAGGCGGUCUUCUAAGUCGGGCGUGAAAGCCCCGGGCUCAACCUGGGAAUUGCACUCGAUACUGGUAGACUUGAGUCUGAGAGAGGGAAGCGGAAGUUCCUGGUGUAGAGGUGAAAUGCGUAGAUAUCUGGGAGGAACACCAGUGGCGAAGGCGGCUUCCUGGCCUGUAACUGACGCUGAGACGCGAAAGCGUGGGGAGCGAACCGG
rnacentral:rRNA from 1 species